UAAAAAUAAAAACUAGUGAAAAAUUCAAAACUAUAAUAACCUUGGUGUGUGUGUAUAGGGUUGUGAAACUAUGGUCAUGAAGAAGUUGAAGGAGAUCAUGAUGUAUGUCAUUUGGACUGCACUGACAUUUGCUGCAAUCCAGAUGCUGGGGAUGUUGUGUGCACGUGUCGUGCUGUGCCGCAGGCCCAGAGGUCCCGCCUAUGAGCGUCUUAUUACAGGAGGCACCUAUGCCUAAAAGAGAACACAUUUCUCACCACAACACACUUUCAGAUUGUGUCUAAUUGGUGAGAGCAUGAAAAUAAUAUAUUACCUCACUAGCAACAACACUAAAGUUCUAUAUUUGACCUGUUUUUCCAAAAAAAAGCUACAGACCAAAUUGUUAAAUGGUCAAUGUAAAGGAAAUACAGAAAACUGAUACUUAGGAUGGCAAAAGGGCAUAAAGGGGCAUGUUAAGCGCCUGAGGAUGAACUAUAACCUCAUAUGUGGCGUAAAAUAACCAUGAGAUGUUUCUUUGUUAGUUUGCACUGUGUGUAUGGCUUUGAUCAUUUUGUUUUUAAAUCUGAAAUUUUUAUUAAAUUAAAUUUACCUCCAACAAUAUUAUUUUACUACUAUUACAGAUUGGUUUUGGUCUGAAGCUCAAUUUUCAGCAGAAGGAUUCUGUGAAGUAGUAGUUGACACCAAAAAAUGCAGAAUAUCUACCUUAAGUGGCGUCUGCAUGUCCAAUCUUUCUUUUAAGAUUCAAGCUUUUGAAUCCCCUUCAGUGUGUGUUUUUUCAAGAAGUAAUACAUUAUUGACUCAAGAUAGACUUCCGGUGGUGUUUUGUUUGUUUUUGUCCCAGAAGUCCACUCCUGGGAGUUUAAGCAUUUGAUUUGCAGAUAUGUAGCAAGGGUAAGACUAAAAAAUGUCAAUCAAAUUUGGGGGAAGGUUGAAAUUAAAAGAUUGCACAAUUUUAUGACAAUAUGUUACAAAGUGGGUAUGUUACAUCCCAAAAUGUGUUUCUCUUUCUGACUUGAUAAAGCUGAUAUUGAAAAGUCAUUAAGAAAGGUGUGAGAGUUCCCAUACUCAUCAGAAUGCUUCGUUCUCUGUCUAAUCUUUGUUUUAUACCGCUUCUUCUCCAAAGUUACCACGGGCUCAACAUGUACCACAUGCCUUUUAUAUAUAAGACUUACUGGAAACAUUAAAUGUUGUAUUUUCUUCUGGUA